rnacentral:rRNA from 1 species
CCUACGGGAGACAGCAGUCGAGAAUCAUUCACAAUGGGGGAAACCCUGAUGGUGCGACGCCGCGUGGGGGAAUGAAGGUCUUCGGAUUGUAAACCCCUGUCAUGUGGGAGCAAAUUAAAAAGAUAGUACCACAAGAGGACGAGACGGCUAACUCUGUGCCAGCAGCCGCGGUAAUACAGAGGUCUCAAGCGUUGUUCGGAAUCACUGGGCGUAAAGCGUGCGUAGGCGGUUUCGUAAGUCGUGUGUGAAAGGCGCGGGCUCAACCCGCGGACGGCACAUGAUACUGCGAGCCUAGAGUAAUGGAGGGGGAACCGGAAGGCGGGGUGUAGAAGUGAAAGGCGGAGAUAGCGAGAGGAACACUCGUGGCGAAGGCGGGUUCCUGGACAUUAACUGACGCUGAGGCACGAAGGCCAGGGGAGCGAAAGGGAUUAGAUACCCGAGUAGUC